rnacentral:rRNA from 1 species
GGACAACCUGCCCUCGGGAGGGGGAUAACCCCGGGAAACUGGGGCUAAACCCCCAUAGGUGAUGGAUACUGGAAUGUUCCAUCACCGAAAGUCCGCAAGGAGCCCGAGGAUGGGUCUGCGGCGGAUUAGGUAGUUGGUGGGGUAACGGCCCACCAAGCCUAAGAUCCGUACGGGCCAUGGGAGUGGGAGCCCGGAGAUGGACCCUGAGACAAGGGUCCAGGCCCUACGGGGCGCAGCAGGCGCGAAACCUCCGCAAUGCGGGAAACCGCGACGGGGUCAGCCGGAGUGCCGAUGCUUGCAUCGGCUGUCGGGGAGCCUAAAAAGCUCCCCAUAGCAAGGGCCGGGCAAGGCCGGUGGCAGCCGCCGCGGUAAUACCGGCGGCCCGAGUGGCGGCCACUAUUAUUGGGCUUAAAGCGUCCGUAGCCGGGUUGGUUAGUCUCCCGGGAAAUCUGGCCGCUUAACGGUCAGAAUUCCGGGAGAUACUGCCAGCCUAGGGACCGGGAGAGGCCGAGGGUAUUCCCGGAGUAGGGGUGAAAUCCUAUAAUCCCGGGAGGACCACCUGUGGCGAAGGCGCUCGGCUGGAACGGGUCCGACGGUGAGGGACGAAGGCCAGGGGAGCAAACCGGAUUAGAUACCCGGGUAGUCCUGGCUGUAAACGAUGCGGACUUUGUGUCGGACAAGCUAUGAGCUUGUCCGGUGU